UGUUCUUCUGCACCGGGAUCUCCUCUCCGUCGAGGACCAGGUGCGCGUCGCAGAAGCGAGACUCCUCGCGGAAAGAGCUGAGCGCUCGCAGCAGGCGCGCGGCAUGCUGCGGGUCGGACACGGCGCUGCCCUCGGCCAUCGCGGCGCCCGCUCCUCGGCCUGCCGGUCCGGCUCCCAACGCCGCCGGACCAGACCCCUCCAGCCGCCCGCGUCCGGCGCGCUCCCCGUCCGCACACUCUGCGCGCGCGCCCGUCCGCCCGCCGGGCCCGUCUUCCAGUGCUCAGAAGCUGGAGUCCCCGGAACGCGCCUGCGCCAUCCGCAGCGCGUGGGGCCGGCGCCUUUAAGGAGCCCCGGCGUUGCGUCAUUUCCCCGCGACGCCCCCGCGCCCUCGCUCCCCUCCCUCUGGUGCUCCGUCCCCGGAAGCGGCCAAUCAGAAGCCUCCUUUCUCUUCCGGACCGGCUCGUCUUGGCCCCGGAGCAGCCCGGGUGCAGCUGGGAGGUGUCGAUAGCUAAGAGUGGUCGCAGCAGGGAUGGAGCGGGCAGGCUAGGACUCUGUGAUUACGCCCGUGGACUCUGGAGACGCGAGUUUGAAUCUCGGCCCUUCCGCUUGCUAGCUGUGUGGCCAUGGGUAGGUGGAGCCCAUUGCUGUGGAAGAUAGACUGUCCAAGAGGAGAGGAAGCAGAGACGGGUACAUUCACCACAGGAAGACCUCAUGGUCAAGACUCCAGGUGGCACAAGUGGUCAUCAGGCUCAGUGGAGAGUGAAGGGGAGUGGACUAUUGAGAUGGGAAGGAGAUGCCCAAUCCCACAAAUGACUAAGAACUUCCAAAAGACAGCUUAAGAUGAACAUGAGGAAGAGCGACCAUCCACCCAUAGAAAAGCAAGCCUCGGAAUCAUGCAGGAUCUGGCAGCUCCCUGGACAACAGCACCCUCACCUACAAACUGUCUCU